UACGGGGGGGGCAAGCGUUGUUCGGAAUUACUGGGCGUAAAGGGCUCGUAGGCGGCCAACUAAGUCGGAUGUGAAAUCCCCAGGCUCAACCUGGGAACUGCAUCCGAUACUGGAUGGCUUGAAUUCGGGAGAGGGAUGCAGAAUUCCAGGUGUAGCGGUGAAAUGCGUAGAUAUGCCAUAGAACACCGAUUGCGAAGGCAGCUUGCUGGACCUGUAUUGACGCUGAGGCACGAAAGCGUGGGGAGCAAACAGG
rnacentral:rRNA from 1 species